CCUACGGGAGGCAGCAGUGAGGAAUAUUGGUCAAUGGGCGCGAGCCUGAACCAGCCAAGUAGCGUGAGGGAUGACUGCCCUACGGGUUGUAAACUUCUUUUGUAAGGGAGUAAAGUGAGGCACGUGUGCCUUUUUGUCUGUACUUUAUGAAUAAGGAACGGCUAACUCCGGGCCAGCAGCCGCGGUAAUACGGAGGAUCCGAGCGUUAUCCGGAUUUAUUGGGUUUAAAGGGUGCGUAGGCGGUCGGAUAAGUUAGAGGUGAAAUCCCGGGGCUCAACUUCGGAAUUGCCUCUGAUACUGUUUGGCUAGAGAGUAGGUGAGGUAGGCGGAAUGUAUGGUGUAGCGGUGAAAUGCUUAGAGAUUAUACAGAACACCGAUUGCGAAGGCAGCUUACCAAGCUACUUCUGACGUUGAGGCACGAAAGCGUGGGGAGCAAACAGGAUUAGAUACCCUGGUAGUC
rnacentral:rRNA from 1 species